UGAAGGUGGCAUAAAUGAGGAUCAGGCACUGAUACCCUGCCACACAGACCCAUCUGCAUACUUGGAAUGUCCUAAAGCCACAGGAAAAGGAAAUCAAAUCCUCUUAACAGUAACAGUGUGAUUUGCAAAAUGAGAUGUUUUCUUUGAAUAUUUAAUCAUGACUGCAACAUGCUCCAAGAGAAAAACGAAAUCAAUGACAACAGCAGCAACAGAAAUUAACAUUUUGUGGCAUAUUAAAGAUUUCCAAAUUGUUUACAGGUUCAGAUCCCACACUUAAAUAUUUUUAAAUGUAAAGAGUUUAUUCAAAUUGAUCAGAAAUAGAGAAAUAGUCAAUUGACUAACAAGUAUAUGAGCAGACAAGACCCUGAAAACUCCAAAUAAUUAAUAUGAAAACGUACCUUGAAUGAUAAAUAGGAAAUGGACCUUGGUUGAUGUAGCAGUUCUCUUUAAAGCAUUUUCCUAUCACAAAAGCAGAAUAGAAGGAAAAUAUAUCAACCAUGAACUGGCUCUUCAGGUUUCUGUUCAGAAGCGACAAAUGUCACAUUUCACUAGCCCCGGCAAAUCAUCUCAUGAUGUCUGAGAGGAACGAUUGACCAACCCCAAUGUGGUCAGAAACCGCACUUGGCAAGCUGACAGAAGAGAUUGGGUGGAAAGAGAAGGCUGACCACAUCCCUGUCCUUGACCACAGAUGACCCAAGAGGAACAGGUUAACAUUUGCAUGGGAGUGGGCAUUCCAAUGACCAG